CUGGCCUCCAGAACCAAAAGAUAGCAC
rnacentral:piRNA from 1 species